AACAAACGCUGGCGGCGUGCCUAACAUAUGCAAGUCGUACGAGAAAGGGUCUUUCGGGAUCUGAGUAAAGUGGCGCACGGGUGAGUAACGCGUGGAUAAUCUGCCCUUCAGUUGGGAAUAACUCAUCGAAAGGUGGGCUAAUACCGAAUAAUGCUGUGAGACCUCGGUUGAUCAGCCAAAGAGAGCCUCUGCUUGCAAGCCCUUGCUGAAGGAUGAGUCCGCGUACCAUUAGCUAGUUGGUAGGGUAAUGGCCUACCAAGGCGACGAUGGUUAGCUGGUCUGAGAGGAUGAUCAGCCACACUGGAACUGAGACACGGUCCAGACUCCUACGGGAGGCAGCAGUGAGGAAUCGUGCGCAAUGGGGGAAACCCUGACGCAGCAACGCCGCGUGAGUGAGGAAGGUCUUCGGAUCGUAAAGCUCUGUCGGAUGGAAAGAACCGCAUAGGGGUAAACAGCCCCUGUGUCUGACGGUACCAUCAAAGGAAGCACCGGCUAACUCCGUGCCAGCCGCCGCCGUAA
rnacentral:rRNA from 1 species